rnacentral:rRNA from 1 species
ACACGACUACAUUAGACUACCCGGGUAGUCCCAGCCCUAAACGAUGCGCGUUAGGUGUAUCGGUGACCACGAGUCACCGAGGUGCCGAAGGGAAACCGUGAAACGUGCCGCCGUGGGAAGUACGGUCGCAAGGCUAGAAACUUAAAGGAAUUGGCGGGGAGCACCACAACGGGUGGAGCCUGCGGUUUAAUUGGACUCAACGCCGAGAAGCUCACCGGAUAAGACAGCGGAAUGAUUGCCGGGCUGAAGACCCUGCAUGACCAGCUG